GGGGGAAUAUUGCACAAUGGAGGGAACUCUGAUGCAGCGACGCCGCGUGAACGAAGAAGGCUUUCGAGUCGUAAAGUUCUUUUAUAUGGGAAGAUAAUGACGGUACCAUAAGAAAAAGCCCCGGCUAACUACGUGCCAGCAGCCGCGGUAAUACGUAGGGGGCUAGCGUUGUCCGGAAUCACUGGGCGUAAAGGGUUCGCAGGCGGAAAUGCAAGUCAGGUGUAAAAGGCAGUAGCUUAACUACUGUAAGCAUUUGAAACUGCAUAUCUUGAGAAGAGUAGAGGUAAGUGGAAUUUUUAGUGUAGCGGUGAAAUGCGUAGAUAUUAAAAAGAAUACCGGUGGCGAAGGCGGCUUACUGGGCUCAUUCUGACGCUGAGGAACGAAAGCGUGGGUAGCAAACAGG
rnacentral:rRNA from 1 species